rnacentral:rRNA from 1 species
GAUUAAGUUAUUAAGGGCGCACGGUGGAUGCCUUGGCACUAGAAGCCGAUGAAGGACGUUACUAACGACGAUAUGCUUUGGGGAGCUGUAAGUAAGCUUUGAUCCAGAGAUUUCCGAAUGGGGAAACCCAGCAUGAGUUAUGUCAUGUUAUCGAUAUGUGAAUACAUAGCAUAUCAGAAGGCACACCCGGAGAACUGAAACAUCUUAGUACCCGGAGGAAGAGAAAGAAAAUUCGAUUCCCUUAGUAGCGGCGAGCGAAACGGGAAGAGCCCAAACCAACAAGCUUGCUUGUUGGGGUUGUAGGACACUCUAUACGGAGUUACAAAGGACGACAUUAGACGAAUCAUCUGGAAAGAUGAAUCAAAGAAGGUAAUAAUCCUGUAGUCGAAAAUGUUGUCUCUCUUGAGUGGAUCCUGAGUACGACGGAGCACGUGAAAUUCCGUCGGAAUCUGGGAGGACCAUCUCCUAAGGCUAAAUACUCUCUAGUGACCGAUAGUGAACCAGUACCGUGAGGGAAAGGUGAAAAGCACCCCGGAAGGGGAGUGAAAUAGAACCUGAAACCGUGUGCUUACAAGUAGUCAGAGCCCGUUAAUGGGUGAUGGCGUGCCUUUUGUAGAAUGAACCGGCGAGUUACGAUUUGAUGCAAGGUUAAGCAGUAAAUGUGGAGCCGUAGCGAAAGCGAGUCUGAAUAGGGCGUUUAGUAUUUGGUCGUAGACCCGAAACCAGGUGAUCUACCCUUGGUCAGGUUGAAGUUCAGGUAACACUGAAUGGAGGACCGAACCGACUUACGUUGAAAAGUGAGCGGAUGAACUGAGGGUAGCGGAGAAAUUCCAAUCGAACCUGGAGAUAGCUGGUUCUCUCCGAAAUAGCUUUAGGGCUAGCCUCAAGUGAUGAUUAUUGGAGGUAGAGCACUGUUUGGACGAGGGGCCCCUCUCGGGUUACCGAAUUCAGACAAACUCCGAAUGCCAAUUAAUUUAACUUGGGAGUCAGAACAUGGGUGAUAAGGUCCGUGUUCGAAAGGGAAACAGCCCAGACCACCAGCUAAGGUCCCAAAAUAUAUGUUAAGUGGAAAAGGAUGUGGCGUUGCCCAGACAACUAGGAUGUUGGCUUAGAAGCAGCCAUCAUUUAAAGAGUGCGUAAUAGCUCACUAGUCGAGUGACACUGCGCCGAAAAUGUACCGGGGCUAAACAUAUUACCGAAGCUGUGGAUUGUCCUUUGGACAAUGGUAGGAGAGCGUUCUAAGGGCGUUGAAGCAUGAUCGUAAGGACAUGUGGAGCGCUUAGAAGUGAGAAUGCCGGUGUGAGUAGCGAAAGACGGGUGAGAAUCCCGUCCACCGA